rnacentral:rRNA from 1 species
GGUUAAGCGACUAAGCGUACACGGUGGAUGCCCUGGCAGUCAGAGGCGAUGAAGGACGUGCUAAUCUGCGAAAAGCGCCGGCGAGGUGAUAUGAACCUUUGACCCGGCGAUGUCCGAAUGGGGAAACCCAGUGCAAUUCGUUGCACUAUCGUUAACUGAAUACAUAGGUUAACGAGGCGAACCGGGGGAACUGAAACAUCUAAGUACCCCGAGGAAAAGAAAUCAACCGAGAUUCCCCCAGUAGCGGCGAGCGAACGGGGAGCAGCCCGGAGUCUGAAUCAGCUUGUGUGUUAGUGGAACGGUCUGGAAAGUCCGACGGUACAGGGUGAUAGUCCCGUACACGAAAAUGCACAUGCUGUGAACUCGAAGAGUAGGGCGGGACACGUGGUAUCCUGUCUGAAUAUGGGGGGACCAUCCUCCAAGGCUAAAUACUCCUGACUGACCGAUAGUGAACCAGUACCGUGAGGGAAAGGCGAAAAGAACCCCGGCGAGGGGAGUGAAAAAGAACCUGAAACCGUGUACGUACAAGCAGUGGGAGCACCUUCGGGUGUGACUGCGUACCUUUUGUAUAAUGGGUCAGCGACUUAUAUUCUGUAGCAAGGUUAACCGUAUAGGGGAGCCGAAGGGAAACCGAGUCUUAACUGGGCGUUAAGUUGCAGGGUAUAGACCCGAAACCCGGUGAUCUAGCCAUGGGCAGGUUGAAGGUUGGGUAACACUAACUGGAGGACCGAACCGACUAAUGUUGAAAAAUUAGCGGAUGACCUGUGGCUGGGGGUGAAAGGCCAAUCAAACCGGGAGAUAGCUGGUUCUCCCCGAAAGCUAUUUAGGUAGCGCCUCGUGAACUCAUCUUCGGGGGUAGAGCACUGUUUCGGCUAGGGGGCCAUCCCGGCUUACCAACCCGAUGCAAACUACGAAUACCGAAGAAUGUUAUCACGGGAGACACACGGCGGGUGCUAACGUCCGUCGUGAAGAGGGAAACAACCCAGACCGCCAGCUAAGGUCCCAAAGUCAUGGUUAAGUGGGAAACGAUGUGGGAAGGCACAGACAGCCAGGAUGUUGGCUUAGAAGCAGCCAUCAUUUAAAGAAAGCGUAAUAGCUCACUGGUCGAGUCGGCCUGCGCGGAAGAUGUAACGGGGCUAAACCAUGCACCGAAGCUGCGGCAGCGACACUUAUGUGUUGUUGGGUAGGGGAGCGUUCUGUAAGCCGUUGAAGGUGUGCUGUGAGGCAUGCUGGAGGUAUCAGAAGUGCGAAUGCUGACAUAAGUAACGAUAAAGCGGGUGAAAAGCCCGCUCGCCGGAAGACCAAGGGUUCCUGUCCAACGUUAAUCGGGGCAGGGUGAGUCGACCCCUAAGGCGAGGCCGAAAGGCGUAGUCGAUGGGAAACAGGUUAAUAUUCCUGUACUUGGUGUUACUGCGAAGGGGGGACGGAGAAGGCUAUGUCAGCCGGGCGACGGUUGUCCCGGUUUAAGCAUGUAGGCGGAGGUUCCAGGUAAAUCCGGUACCUUAUUAACGCUGAGGUGUGAUGACGAGGCACUACGGUGCUGAAGUGAUAAAUGCCCUGCUUCCAGGAAAAGCCUCUAAGCAUCAGGUAACACGAAAUCGUACCCCAAACCGACACAGGUGGUCAGGUAGAGAAUACCAAGGCGCUUGAGAGAACUCGGGUGAAGGAACUAGGCAAAAUGGUGCCGUAACUUCGGGAGAAGGCACGCUGAUAUGUAGGUGAAGCCCCUGCGGGCGGAGCUGAAAUCAGUCGAAGAUACCAGCUGGCUGCAACUGUUUAUUAAAAACACAGCACUGUGCAAACACGAAAGUGGACGUAUACGGUGUGACGCCUGCCCGGUGCCGGAAGGUUAAUUGAUGGGGUUAGCGGCAACGCGAAGCUCUUGAUCGAAGCCCCGGUAAACGGCGGCCGUAACUAUAACGGUCCUAAGGUAGCGAAAUUCCUUGUCGGGUAAGUUCCGACCUGCACGAAUGGCGUAAUGAUGGCCAGGCUGUCUCCACCCGAGACUCAGUGAAAUUGAACUCGCUGUGAAGAUGCAGUGUACCCGCGGCAAGACGGAAAGACCCCGUGAACCUUUACUAUAGCUUGACACUGAACACUGGUCCUUGAUGUGUAGGAUAGGUGGGAGGCUUUGAAGCGUGGACGCCAGUCUGCGUGGAGCCGCCCUUGAAAUACCACCCUUUAAUGGCUGGUGUUCUAACGUAGACCCGUGAUCCGGGUUGCGGACAGUGUCUGGUGGGUAGUUUGACUGGGGCGGUCUCCUCCCAAAGAGUAACGGAGGAGCACGAAGGUUGGCUAAUCCUGGUCGGACAUCAGGAGGUUAGUGCAAUGGCAUAAGCCAGCUUGACUGCGAGCGUGACGGCGCGAGCAGGUGCGAAAGCAGGUCAUAGUGAUCCGGUGGUUCUGAAUGGAAGGGCCAUCGCUCAACGGAUAAAAGGUACUCCGGGGAUAACAGGCUGAUACCGCCCAAGAGUUCAUAUCGACGGCGGUGUUUGGCACCUCGAUGUCGGCUCAUCACAUCCUGGGGCUGAAGUAGGUCCCAAGGGUAUGGCUGUUCGCCAUUUAAAGUGGUACGCGAGCUGGGUUUAGAACGUCGUGAGACAGUUCGGUCCCUAUCUGCCGUGGGCGCUGGAGAAUUGAGGGGGGCUGCUCCUAGUACGAGAGGACCGGAGUGGACGCAUCACUGGUGUUCGGGUUGUCAUGCCAAUGGCACUGCCCGGUAGCUAAAUGCGGAAGAGAUAAGUGCUGAAAGCAUCUAAGCACGAAACUUGCCCCGAGAUGAGUUCUCCCUGAGACUUUAAGUCUCCUGAAGGAACGUUGAAGACGACGACGUUGAUAGGUCGGGUGUGUAAGCGCAGCGAUGCGUUGAGCUAACCGAUACUAAUGAACCGUGAGGCUUAACCUU